AGCGAACGCUGGCGGUAGGCCUAACACAUGCAAGUCGAACGGCAGCACAGUAAGAGUGUGCUCUUAUGGGGGGGGGGUGGGGGACGGGAGAGGAAAAUAACGGGAUCUUCAUUUUCGGGGGGGAUAAAGUAGGGAAACCUAAGCCAAUAUCGCAGAUCACCCUAGGGGGAAAGGAGGGGAAAGUUUGACCUUUCGGGGUUGGAUGAGCCGAUGUCGGAUUAGUUAGUUGGGGGGGUAAAGGCCCACCAAGGCGACGAUCCGUAGCUGGUCUGAGAGGAUGGUCAGCCACACUGGAACUGAGACACGGUCCAGGCUCCUACGGGAGGCAGCAGUGGGGAAUAUUGGACAAUGGGCGCAAGCCUGGUCCAACCAUACCGCGUGGGUGAAGAAGGCCUUCGGGUUGUAAAGCCCUUUUGUUGGGAAAGAAAAGCAGCAGGUUAAUACCCCGCUGUUCUGACGGUACCCAAAGAAUAAGCACCGGCUAACUUCGUG
rnacentral:rRNA from 1 species